rnacentral:rRNA from 1 species
CUACGGGUGGCUGCAGUGAGGAAUAUUGCACAAUGGAGGAAACUCUGAUGCAGCAACGCCGCGUGGAGGAUGACGCAUUUCGGUGUGUAAACUCCUUUUAUAUGUCAAGAAAAUGACGGUAGCAUAUGAAUAAGCCCCGGCUAACUCCGUGCCAGCAGCCGCGGUAAUACGGAGGGUGCAAGCGUUACUCGGAAUCACUGGGCGUAAAGGACGCGUAGGCGGGAUAUCAAGUCAGGUGUGAAAUCCUACAGCUUAACUGCAGAACUGCACUUGAAACUUCCAAUCUAGAGUAUGGGAGGGGUAGAUGGAAUUAGUGGUGUAGGGGUAAAAUCCGUAGAUAUCACUAGGAAUACCUAAAGCGAAGGCGAUCUCCUGGAACAUUACUGACGCUAAGGCGUGAAAGCGUGGGGAGCGGACAGGAUUAGAUACCCGUGUAGUC